GACGGAAGGUGCAAGCGUUGCUCGGAAUCACUGGGCGUAAGGGGUGCGUAGGCGGCCGCGCAAGUCUGGCGUGAAAGCCCCGGGCUCAGCCCGGGAAGGGCGCUCGAAACGGCGCGGCUCGAGUGCCGGAGGGGAGAGUGGAAUUCCUGGUGUAGCGGUGAAAUGCGUAGAUAUCAGGAGGAAUACCGGUGGCGAAAGCGACUCUCUGGACGGCAACUGACGCUGAGGCACGAAAGCGUGAGGAGCAAACAGG
rnacentral:rRNA from 1 species